AUUGAACGCUGGCGGCAUGCCUUACACAUGCAAGUCGAACGGCAGCACGGGAGCAAUCCUGGUGGCGAGUGGCGAACGGGUGAGUAAUGUAUCGGAACGUGCCCAGUCGUGGGGGAUAACGUAGCGAAAGCUACGCUAAUACCGCAUACGAUCUAUGGAUGAAAGCGGGGGAUCGCAAGACCUCGCGCGAUUGGAGCGGCCGAUAUCAGAUUAGGUAGUUGGUGGGGUAAAGGCCCACCAAGCCUGCGAUCCGUAGCUGGUCUGAGAGGACGACCAGCCACACUGGAACUGAGACACGGUCCAGACUCCUACGGGAGGCAGCAGUGGGGAAUGUUGGACAAUGGGCGCAAGCCUGAUCCAGCAAUGCCGCGUGCAGGAUGAAGGCCUUCGGGUUGUAAACUGCUUUUGUACGGAACGAAACGGCUUUUUCUAAUACAGAGAGCUAAUGACGGUACCGUAAGAAUAAGCACCGGCUAACUACGUGCCAGCCGCCGCCGUAA
rnacentral:rRNA from 1 species